rnacentral:rRNA from 1 species
UACGGGGGGAGCAAGCGUUGUUCGGAUUUACUGGGCGUAAAGGGCGCGUAGGCGGCCACCGCAAGUCGACUGUGAAAUCUCCGGGCUUAACCCGGAAAGGUCAGCCGAUACUGCGGGGCUAGAGUGCAGAAGGGGCAACUGGAAUUCUCGGUGUAGCGGUGAAAUGCGUAGAUAUCGAGAGGAACACCUGCGGCGAAGGCGGGUUGCUGGGCUGACACUGACGCUGAUGUGCGAAAGCGUGGGGAGCAAACAGG